rnacentral:rRNA from 1 species
GAUGAACGCUGGCGGCGUGCCUAAUACAUGCAAGUCGAGCGAACGGACGAGAAGCUUGCUUCUCUGAUGUUAGCGGCGGACGGGUGAGUAACACGUGGAUAACCUACCUAUAAGACUGGGAUAACUUCGGGAAACCGGAGCUAAUACCGGAUAAUAUUUUGAACCGCAUGGUUCAAAAGUGAAAGACGGUCUUGCUGUCACUUAUAGAUGGAUCCGCGCUGCAUUAGCUAGUUGGUAAGGUAGCGGCUUACCAAGGCAACGAUGCAUAGCCGACCUGAGAGGGUGAUCGGCCACACUGGAACUGAGACACGGUCCAGACUCCUACGGGAGGCAGCAGUAGGGAAUCUUCCGCAAUGGGCGAAAGCCUGACGGAGCAACGCCGCGUGAGUGAUGAAGGUCUUCGGAUCGUAAAACUCUGUUAUUAGGGAAGAACAUAUGUGUAAGUAACUGUGCACAUCUUGACGGUACCUAAUCAGAAAGCCACGGCUAACUACGUGCCAGCAGCCGCGGUAAUACGUAGGUGGCAAGCGUUAUCCGGAAUUAUUGGGCGUAAAGCGCGCGUAGGCGGUUUUUUAGUCUGAUGUGAAAGCCCACGGCUCAACCGUGGAGGGUCAUUGGAAACUGGAAAACUUGAGUGCAGAAGAGGAAAGUGGAAUUCCAUGUGUAGCGGUGAAAUGCGCAGAGAUAUGGAGGAACACCAGUGGCGAAGGCGACUUUCUGGUCUGUAACUGACGCUGAUGUGCGAAAGCGUGGGGAUCAAACAGGAUUAGAUGCCCUGGUAGUCCACGCCGUAAACGAUGAGUGCUAAGUGUUAGGGGGUUUCCGCCCCUUAGUGCUGCAGCUAACGCAUUAAGCACUCCGCCUGGGGAGUACGACCGCAAGGUUGAAACUCAAAGGAAUUGACGGGGACCCGCACAAGCGGUGGAGCAUGUGGUUUAAUUCGAAGCAACGCGAAGAACCUUACCAAAUCUUGACAUCCUUUGACAACUCUAGAGAUAGAGCUUUCCCCUUCGGGGGACAAAGUGACAGGUGGUGCAUGGUUGUCGUCAGCUCGUGUCGUGAGAUGUUGGGUUAAGUCCCGCAACGAGCGCAACCCUUAAGCUUAGUUGCCAUCAUUAAGUUGGGCACUCUAAGUUGACUGCCGGUGACAAACCGGAGGAAGGUGGGGAUGACGUCAAAUCAUCAUGCCCCUUAUGAUUUGGGCUACACACGUGCUACAAUGGACAAUACAAAGGGCAGCGAAACCGCGAGGUCAAGCAAAUCCCAUAAAGUUGUUCUCAGUUCGGAUUGUAGUCUGCAACUCGACUACAUGAAGCUGGAAUCGCUAGUAAUCGUAGAUCAGCAUGCUACGGUGAAUACGUUCCCGGGUCU